AUUUGACCGGAACUGGUUACAAUAAACAAAAUAUAUUUAAACACAUAUCUUUAUUAUCGGCUUCAAUUGACUCCGCUUGAGCGAAUACAAUCAUUUCAACGGUUCACCAAAUUUUUUCCAUACGCAUUUUAUGGGCCUCAACCAGGUUGGCAUUUAGUUUUGUGCACAAAUUACUGUUUGUGACCUCAAUCGAUUGAUGGCGCUUUUUCCGGAGCGGAUAUUUGAGUUUCGGAAGCAAGAAGUCACAGUGAAGCAAAGCUGAUGUCUAUCCUUUAUAUCUGUAAUGCCAACACGACGUUUUUGUUUUUGGCAGACGCAAUAGUUUAGUUAGUUGUCAACUCGUCUCAAUUAUUUCAAAGGUAAUUAACCUACAAGCUGUUGCAUCUAUCGGUCGAUAUCCCAUACAAAUCUGAGGCUUGGAUGCUACAUCUGAUCGAAAAAGAGUGCAAUCUCUUCAAAGCAGGACUCUACGCAUGAUGGCAAGAGCGAUAUAUCUUAUUCCACAGAGACGUGAAGAUUCUCUGGGUCGAAUACCUAAUCCAAAACCAUAGCGCUUUAUUAACAAUUGGCUAGCAUCUCACACACAACAGGCUCGAUAAAAACCAUUGGCCUUCAAACCCAAGUCGAAAAGU